GAAUUUUUCUCAAUGGGGGAAACCCUGAAGGAGCGACGCCGCGUGGAGGCUGAAGGUUUUCGGAUUGUAAACUCCUGUCAUUUGGGAACAAACAUUUUGGUUAACUGCCAAAAGAUUGAUAGUACCAGAAGAGGAAGAGACGGCUAACCCUGUGCCAGCAGCCGCGGUAAUACAGGGGUCUCAACCGUUGUUCGGAUUCAUUGGGCGUAAAGGGUGCGUAGGCGGUCGUGCAAGUCGGAUGUGAAAUCUCAGGGCUCAACCCUGAAACUGCAUUCGAUACUGCAUGGCUUGAGUACUGGAGGGGAGACUGGAAUUUACGGUGUAGCAGUGAAAUGCGUAGAUAUCGUAAGGAAGACCAGUGGCGAAGGCGAGUCUCUGGACAGUUACUGACGCUGAGGCACGAAGGCCAGGGGAGCAAAC
rnacentral:rRNA from 1 species